GAUGAACGCUGGCGGCGUGCCUAAUACAUGCAAGUCGAGCGAACAGACGAGGAGCUUGCUCCUCUGACGUUAGCGGCGGACGGGUGAGUAACACGUGGAUAACCUACCUAUAAGACUGGGAUAACUUCGGGAAACCGGCGCUAAUACCGGAUAAUAUAUUGAACCGCGUGGUUCAAUAGUGAAAGACGGUUUUGCUGUCACUUAUAGAUGGAUCCGCGCCGCAUUAGCUAGUUGGUAAGGUAACGGCUUACCAAGGCAACGAUGCGUAGCCGACCUGAGAGGGUGAUAGGCCACACUGGAACUGAGACACGGUCCAGACUCCUACGGGAGGCAGCAGUAGGGAAUCUUCCGCAAAGGGCGAAAGCAUGACGGAGCAACGCCGCGUGAGUGAUGAAGGUCUUCGGAUCGUAAAACUCUGUUAUUAGGGAAGAACAAAUGUGUAAGUAACUAUGCACGUCGUGACGGUAACUAAUCAGAAAGCCACGGCUAACUACGUG
rnacentral:rRNA from 1 species